UGGGGAAUAUUGCACAAUGGGGAAGACCCUGAUGCAGCGACGCCGCGUGAAGGAAGAAGUAUCUCGGUAUGUAAACUUCUAUCAGCAGGGAAGAUAAUGACGGUACCUGACUAAGAAGCCCCGGCUAACUACGUGCCAGCAGCCGCGGUAAUACGUAGGGGGCGAAGCGUUAUCCGGAUUUACUGGGUGUAAAGGGAGCGUAGACGGAACAGCAAGUCUGAUGUGAAAGGCAUGGGCUCAACCUGUGGACUGCAUUGGAAACUGUGGAUCUGGAGUGCCGGAGAGGUAAGCGGAAUUCCUAGUGUAGCGGUGAAAUGCGUAGAUAUUAGGAGGAGCACCAGUGGCGAAGGCGGCUUACUGGACGGUAACUGACGUUGAGGCUCGAAAGCGUGGGGAGCAACAGGAUUAGAUACC
rnacentral:rRNA from 1 species